AUGACAGUGUCAUUUGUAAAAUCUUGCCAAGUUGUGUGUUUUAUGCAAAAAAACAUGAGUUUAGGAAACUGAGGACAAAUUACCGAAAUUAUGCAUGCCUUUAUACUCCCUGUGUAACUUUCUUUCUUGGUGAGGUAUCGGGGCACGCCUCGUAAGGAAAGCACAUAGGAUUGGUGGCUGUCAUUGUACAGAGUCUGUAACACAGAUACACCCAGAGGCAGCUCUGCUGCUGUCAUUACCAGUCAAGACACGAUAUCAAGGUGGCUCACCGCCCUCGAACUUUGUAAAAGAUGAUUUGCCUCUCACUGUACGCCCUGAUCGCCUCAGCUACGAUCUUGGCGUGCGUGCCCGUCUGCUACAGGCAAUUUGAAAUGCACAAAUUCGUCAAGUGCCUCAAGAAGUAACCCAGCUAUGAUAAUCUGCAUGACAUGCAUGACGGCCCUCAUAGCAGCAGGAUGUGUUUCCUGUGCCCCCAUACUCCUAGACACGUACUGGCCUUUCAAAAAGUGCUGCGAUACGAGCAAGCCAGAAAACACCUUAUCAACCUGCAAGAGUCCAUGCUGUCCGAAAAAAUCAACUGAAUAAAUUGUUGUCGUCGUGUAUGUCUAAGAGGUUUUAAUAAAUGUUUUAUUUCUCAGUU